UUGGAGGGCAAGUCUGGUGCCAGCAGCCGCGGUAAUUCCAGCUCCAAUAGCGUAUAUUAAAGUUGUUGCAGUUAAAAAGCUCGUAGUUGAAUUUCGGGAUUGACGUGAUGGUCAUGCCUUAAGGGGUAUGAACUGUCGCAGUUGAUUUCUCACCUUCUGGAGAAACUUGAUGUCCUUUAUUGGGUGUCUUGCGGAUCCAGGACCUUUACCUUGAAAAAAUUAGAGUGUUUAAAGCAGGCAUUUUUUGCUCGAAUACAUUAGCAUGGAAUAAUAGAAUAGGACGGCAUGGUUCUAUUUUGUUGGUUUCUAGGAUCACCGUAAUGAUUAAUAGGGAUAGUUGGGGGCAUUAGUAUUCAAUUGUCAGAGGUGAAAUUCUUGGAUUUAUUGAAGACUAACUACUGCGAAAGCAUUUGCCAAGGAUGUUUUCAUUAAUCAAGAACGAAAGUUAGGGGAUCGAAGACGAUCAGAUACCGUCGUAGUCUUAACCAUAAACUAUGCCGACUAGGAAUCAGACGAUGUUAAUUUUUUAAUGACUCGUUUGGCACCUUACGGGAAAC
rnacentral:rRNA from 1 species